rnacentral:rRNA from 1 species
AGUAAUGUAUAGGAACUUGCCUAGUAGUGGGGGGAGUAACGUGUGGAAACGCACGCUAAUACCGCAUACGCUCUACGGAGGAAAGCGGGGGGAUCUUCGGACCUCGUGCUACUAGAUGGGCCUGUAUCAGAUUAGCUAGUUGGUAAGGUAAUGGCUUACCAAGGCGACGAUCUGUAGCUGGUUUGAGAGAAUGAUCAGCCACACUGGGACUGAGACACGGCCCAG